rnacentral:lncRNA from 1 species
AGAGAGAGAGAGAGAGAGAGAGAGAGAUGGUGCUUAUUACGAAGAAGAAGAGAGAGAGAUGGUGCUUAUUAAGGAGAAGAAAAUAGAGAGAAAGAGAGAUGGUGCUUAUUAUGAAGAAGAAGAGAGAGAGACUAAUCAAUGACUUCUGUCCCCCCUUCCCUCUCUCAAGGGAAGUUUCCAUCAGUUUUAUAAAUGGAAGCAGUUGAAGCAUCACUAUUUAGUGUUAGGCUCGAACAAAAGUGCAUGUGGUGGUUUCAAGAGCCUUACCUAGCAGUCACGGGUUAAUCCCAAUAGGGAAGAGUUUUAAUCAUU